UACGUAGGGUGCAAGCGUUAAUCGGAAUUACUGGGCGUAAAGCGUGCGCAGGCGGUCUUGCAAGACAGAUGUGAAAUCCCCGGGCUCAACCUGGGAACUGCAUCCGAAACUGCCUUGCUCGAGUAUGGGAGAGGGAAGCGGAAUUUCCGGUGUAGCGGUGAAAUGCGUAGAUAUCGGAAGGAACAUCAGUGGCGAAGGCGACUUCCUGGACCAAUACUGACGCUCAGGUGCGAAAGCGUGGGGAGCAAACAGG
rnacentral:rRNA from 1 species